UGGGGAAUAUUGGACAAUGGGCGCAAGCCUGAUCCAGCCAUGCCGCGUGAGUGAUGAAGGCCCUAGGGUUGUAAAGCUCUUUCACCGGUGAAGAUAAUGACGGUAACCGGAGAAGAAGCCCCGGCUAACUUCGUGCCAGCAGCCGCGGUAAUACGAAGGGGGCUAGCGUUGUUCGGAUUUACUGGGCGUAAAGCGCACGUAGGCGGACUUUUAAGUCAGGGGUGAAAUCCCGGGGCUCAACCCCGGAACUGCCUUUGAUACUGGAAGUCUUGAGUAUGGUAGAGGUGAGUGGAAUUCCGAGUGUAGAGGUGAAAUUCGUAGAUAUUCGGAGGAACACCAGUGGCGAAGGCGGCUCACUGGACCAUUACUGACGCUGAGGUGCGAAAGCGUGGGGAGCAAAC
rnacentral:rRNA from 1 species